rnacentral:rRNA from 1 species
AGAGUUUGAUCCUGGCUCAGAGCGAACGCUGGCGGAAUGCUUAACACAUGCAAGUCGCACGCCCCGGCAACGGGGAGUGGCGGACGGGUGAGCAACGCGUAGGAACAUGUCCGGAGGUGGGGGACAACCCCGGGAAACUGGGGCUAAUACCGCAUACGGGCCGAGGCCCAAAGCAGCGAUGCGCCUCCGGAGUGGCCUGCGUCCGAUUAGCUCGUUGGCGGGGUAACGGCCACCAAGGCUACGAUCGGUAGCUGGUCUGAGAGGACGACCAGCCACACCGGGACUGAGACACGGCCCGGACUCCUACGGGAGGCAGCAGUGGGGAAUAUUGGGCAAUGGGCGCAAGCCUGACCCAGCAAUUCCGCGUGGGUGAAGAAGGUCUUCGGAUUGUAAAGCCCUUUCGGCGGGGACGAUGGUGACGGUACCCGCAGAAGAAGCCCCGGCCAACUUCGUGCCAGCAGCCGCGGUAAUACGAAGGGGGCUAGCGUUGCUCGGAAUCAUUGGGCGUAAAGGGCGCGUAGGCGGCGCUGUUAGUCAGGCGUGAAACCCCUGGGCUCAACCCAGGAACUGCGCUUGGUACGGCAGGGCUCGAGGAUGGAAGAGGGCCGCGGAAUUCCCAGUGUAGAGGUGAGAUUCGUAGAUAUUGGGAAGAACACCGGUGGCGAAGGCGGCGGCCUGGUCCAUUUCUGACGCUGAGGCGCGACAGCGUGGGGAGCAAACAGGAUUAGAUACCCCCGUAGUCC